rnacentral:rRNA from 1 species
UACGUAGGGGGCAAGCGUUGUCCGGAAUCAUUGGGCGUAAAGCGCGUGUAGGCGGCCCGGUAAGUCCGCUGUGAAAGUCGGGGGCUCAACCCUCGGAUGCCGGUGGAUACUGUCGGGCUAGAGUGCGGGAGAGGCGAGUGGAAUUCCUGGUGUAGCGGUGAAAUGCGCAGAUAUCGGGAAGAACACCCGUGGCGAAGGCGGCUCUCUGGGACGGUACUGACGCUGAGACGCGAAAGCGUGGGGAGCGAACAGG